GAGAGAGAGACAUGCGCGCAUAUCAAUAAGCGGAGGAAAAGAAACUAACAAGGGUUCCCUUAGUAACGGCGAGUGAAGCGGGAAGAGCUCAAAUUUGAAAUCUUCAAGGUUCUACCUUGACGAAUUGUAGUUUAUAGAAGUGUUUUCUGUUAGUGGAGUGGCAAAAGUUCUUUGGAAUAGGACAUCAUAGAGGGUGAGAAUCCCGUAUUUGGUCAUUCCUCCUAGCGUUGUGAUACACUUUCAACGAGUCGGAUUGUUUGGGAAUGCAGUCCAAAAUGGGUGGUAAAUUUCAUCUAAAGCUAAAUAUUGGCGAGAGACCGAUAGCGAACAAGUACCGUGAGGGAAAGAUGAAAAGAACUUUGAAAAGAGAGUUAAACAGUACGUGAAAUUGUCAGAAGGGAAGCGUUUGACACCAGUGUUGUUUUUCCGAAAAUCAAUUACGAAUGUUUUGUUUUUGAGGAGUUAUGACUUCAUCGGCUUGCUCCUUUCUUUACGAAACUUUCUUAAUGCACUUUUCGGUUAACAAGUCAACAUCAAUUUCUUUUGUUGUAAAAGGGUAUGAGGAAGGUGGCUUUCUUUUCGGAGAAAGUGUUUAUAGCCUUGUGCCUUCUGCAAUCGGAGAGAUUGAGGUCUGCAGCGUAGAUCCUUCGGGGUUAGAUACAUUUGUGCUAAGUUAUAGCUUUUCAUAGACAACUUGUUGACUAUGUUUAGUCUUGUAGCUUACUCGCUUAUGCUAUUUUACCUACGCUUAGGAUGUUGAUAGUCACAGCGUGUAC
rnacentral:rRNA from 1 species